rnacentral:rRNA from 1 species
UGCAGUCGAACGGCAGCACGGGCUUCGGCCUGGUGGCGAGUGGCGAACGGGUGAGUAAUACAUCGGAACGUACCCAGAAGUGGGGGAUAACGUAGCGAAAGUUACGCUAAUACCGCAUACGUUCUACGGAAGAAAGUGGGGGAUCGCAAGACCUCAUGCUUUUGGAGCGGCCGAUGUCUGAUUAGCUAGUUGGUGAGGUAAAGGCUCACCAAGGCGACGAUCAGUAGCUGGUCUGAGAGGACGACCAGCCACACUGGAACUGAGACACGGUCCAGACUCCUACGGGAGGCAGCAGUGGGGAAUUUUGGACAAUGGGCGCAAGCCUGAUCCAGCAAUGCCGCGUGAGUGAAGAAGGCCUUCGGGUUGUAAAGCUCUUUUGUCAGGGAAGAAACGGCAGAGGCUAAUAUCCUUUGCUAAUGACGGUACCUGAAGAAUAAGCACCGGCUAACUACGUGCCAGCAGCCGCGGUAAUACGUAGGGUGCAAGCGUUAAUCGGAAUUACUGGGCGUAAAGCGUGCGCAGGCGGUUUUGUAAGUCUGACGUGAAAGCCCCGGGCUCAACCUGGGAAUUGCGUUGGAGACUGCAAGGCUUGAAUCUGCAGAGGGGGGUAGAAUUCCACGUGUAGCAGUGAAAUGCGUAGAGAUGUGGAGGAACACCGAUGGCGAAGGCAGCCCCCUGGGUCAAGAUUGACGCUCAUGCACGAAAGCGUGGGGAGCAAACAGGAUUAGAUACCCUGGUAGUCCACGCCCUAAACGAUGUCUACUAGUUGUCGGGUUUUAAUUAACUUGGUAACGCAGCUAACGCGUGAAGUAGACCGCCUGGGGAGUACGGUCGCAAGAUUAAAACUCAAAGGAAUUGACGGGGACCCGCACAAGCGGUGGAUGAUGUGGAUUAAUUCGAUGCAACGCGAAAAACCUUACCUACCCUUGACAUGUCAGGAAUCCUUGAGAGAUUGAGGAGUGCCCGAAAGGGAACCUGAACACAGGUGCUGCAUGGCUGUCGUCAGCUCGUGUCGUGAGAUGUUGGGUUAAGUCCCGCAACGAGCGCAACCCUUGUCAUUAGUUGCUACGCAAGAGCACUCUAAUGAGACUGCCGGUGACAAACCGGAGGAAGGUGGGGAUGACGUCAAGUCCUCAUGGCCCUUAUGGGUAGGGCUUCACACGUCAUACAAUGGUACAUACAGAGGGCCGCCAACCCGCGAGGGGGAGCUAAUCCCAGAAAGUGUAUCGUAGUCCGGAUCGUAGUCUGCAACUCGACUACGUGAAGUUGGAAUCGCUAGUAAUCGCGGAUCAGC